UACGUAGGGGGCAAGCGUUGUCCGGAUUUAUUGGGCGUAAAGAGCGUGUAGGCGGCCUGACAGGUCUGCUGUGAAAACUCGAGGCUCAACCUCGAGAUGUCGGCGGAAACCGUCUGGCUAGAGUCCGGAAGAGGAGAGUGGAAUUCCUGGUGUAGCGGUGAAAUGCGCAGAUAUCAGGAAGAACACCUAUGGCGAAGGCAGCCCUCUGGGACGGUACUGACGCUGAGACGCGAAAGCGUGGGGAGCGAACAGG
rnacentral:rRNA from 1 species